UCUCAUCAUGGCCACUUAGCUUGCUCGAGAUUACACAGAACCAUGCCUCUGGUUUCCUGGUACAGUGCUCCGGCAGGUGACGGAUGCUCCUGGGUGACAUAUCACGGAUCUCUCUGAGGUUGUUAAGAAUGAUCCUCUGUGACUGCACUAAAUAUUUUUUAAGUUGCAUACUGAGGUGUUGCAGAAGUUACUUUAUUAUUAAAAAAACAGCCUGGGAACUGAAGCCUAGAAAUGGGAUAAGAAUUAUAAUUUCAAGACAAAAGCAAGCAACUGGGUAAGACGUGCCUUUUGCCUUCCACCUUCUGCCGUGAUUGUGAGGACCCGCCAGCCACGUGGAACUGUGAGUCCAUUAAACUUCUUUUUCUUUAUAA
rnacentral:lncRNA from 10 species